rnacentral:rRNA from 1 species
UACGAAGGGGGCUAGCGUUGCUCGGAAUCACUGGGCGUAAAGCGCACGUAGGCGGAUUGUUAAGUCGGGGGUGAAAUCCUGGAGCUCAACUCCAGAACUGCCUUCGAUACUGACGAUCUCGAGUCCGGGAGAGGUGAGUGGAACUCCGAGUGUAGAGGUGAAAUUCGUAGAUAUUGGGAAGAACACCGGUGGCGAAGGCGGCGACCUGGUCCUUGACUGACGCUGAGGCGCGAAAGCGUGGGGAGCAAACAGG